rnacentral:rRNA from 1 species
UACAGAGGUCUCGAGCGUUAGGCGGAAUCACUGGGCUUAAAGCGUGUGUAGGCGGAUCGUUAAGUACCUUGUGAAAUCCCACGGCUUAACCGUGGAACUGCUUGGUAUACUGGCGGUCUUGAGCCAGCUAGGGGCUACCGGAACAAAUGGUGGAGCGGUGAAAUGCGUAGAUAUCAUUUGGAACGCCAAUGGUGAAAACAGGUAGCUGGGCUGUGCUGACGCUGGAGACACGAAAGCCAGGGGAGCAAACGGG